AGUGGGGAAUAUUGCGCAAUGGGCGAAAGCCUGACGCAGCGACGCCGCGUGUGGGAUGACGGCCUUCGGGUUGUAAACCACUGUCGGGAGGGACGAAUGCCCCGCAAGGGGAGUGACGGUACCUCCAAAGGAAGCACCGGCUAACUCCGUGCCAGCAGCCGCGGUAAUACGGAGGGUGCGAGCGUUGUCCGGAAUCACUGGGCGUAAAGGGCGCGUAGGCGGCCUGAUAAGUAGGGGGUGAAAUCCUGCGGCUUAACCGCAGGGCUGCCUUCUAAACUGUCGGGCUCGAGCACAGUAGAGGCAGGUGGAAUUCCCGGUGUAGCGGUGGAAUGCGUAGAGAUCGGGAAGAACAUCAGUGGCGAAGGCGGCCUGCUGGGCUGUUGCUGACGCUGAGGCGCGACAGCGUGGGGAGCAAA
rnacentral:rRNA from 1 species